rnacentral:rRNA from 1 species
CGCGUAGGUGGCUAAUUAAGUCAAAUGUGAAAUCCCCGAGCUUAACUUGGGAAUUGCAUUCGAUACUGGUUAGCUAGAGUAUGGGAGAGGAUGGUAGAAUUCCAGGUGUAGCGGUGAAAUGCGUAGAGAUCUGGAGGAAUACCGAUGGCGAAGGCAGCCAUCUGGCCUAAUACUGACACUGAGGUGCGAAAGCUAAGGGAGCGAAUCGGAUUAGAUACCCCAGUA